AUCGCUUCUCGGCCUUUUGCCUAAGAUCAAGUGUGGUAUCUGUUCUUAUCAGUUUAAUAUCUGAUACGUCCUCUAUCUGAGGACAAUAUAUUAAAUGGAUUUUUGGAACUGGGAGUUGGAAGAGGAGCUUGCUCCGAACCAUCUAUGCAUCGACCUGGUAUUGCAGUACCUCUGGGAAAGGUGCACACAAA